UGCCAAGUCUAUUGGGGAAGCAAGAUCACUGCCAUCUUUCCUAUAUUAUUUUCAUCAUACAAGAUAUUCAGAUUUUUAUUCUUGCAGCAGUUGUGUGACCAGCAUCCAUCCCAAAUGACAAAUAGAAGUUGUAUUAACAAGGCUGAGAAUUGGGCACACAAGACUGACUCAUGGGCCGAUGAUGGCUAAAAGUGAAGCACGCUGUGAGGAAUGCCAAGAGCCAUUAACGGUCGCACAUAUAGUGGAAAGAUGUGCAACACUCUCAGACCAAAGACGAAGCCCCUAUAGGAGUGGUGAGUGUCUAGCUCCGACUCCUUGACGACUUGUCGGUCUAGUUUUUUGAAGACAAGCGUGAGCUUAGCCUUCAUGUCCACUGGAAGGACAGAGGGGAAACCAAGUUUCUUCAGGGACUGGACGACAUCCUGUGAGAAGAGCUUUUCAGCAUGGACGUCGUCUUCGAUCAAGGCCAGUGUGUCAGCAGGUGCUGACUCGGGUGAGCUUAGUCCUUACCCACCGUGGUGCCCAGCCACAGCAGUAACCCCCAGGAGACAAUUGCAACUUCUCGCGCCUGGGCGGAGCGCGAACUGCCGACCCCUCGGAUGAGAGGCCGACACGUUACCACUGUACUAGCCCAGAGGCUGAAAAUUGUAUAUGGAUAUUACCUCUCAAUUGGAAAAUUAUGAACUUGAGGCGGCCGCGAUGUGGCGACGUUUUGCCCUGCACGUACGUGAACGACUAUGAGGGAGAUUAUUUUACAUUGCCAGGAGAUCCUUUAUAUCUUCCCUCAUAACACAACGGGAGCUUCGGUCGCCGUCACUUCAGCGAAGCCCAGGUUGUAUAUUAUAUUUGUAUUUCCGCUGGCACCUGUCCCUCGUGAACAACCACGUUAUGGAAUGGACUUCAGUUGUGAAGGAAAGCGACGGAAACAGACAUGGA